GGCGCUGUAGCUCAAGUGGUAGAGUACUUGCCUUGCAUGCCUGAGGCCCUGGGUUCAAUUCCUCAGCACCA
rnacentral:tRNA from 1 species